rnacentral:misc_RNA from 1 species
GUGCAUAUGAUGGUACAGAUCUAGCACAAGAUGAUAGAUGUUUCUCUGAGAAAGAGAUAUCUGUUACUUCAGGAACUAUUUGUCACUCAGAACAUGCUUCUGGACCUUCAAAUUUAGAUACACCUGCCAUGGUGAUGGACAAUCCAGAACAUAUGAGAAAGCGCAAAGUGUCACAGGAUACAAAUGAUGACUCCACACAGGUUCCUGAUCUCCAGGAUUCUGCUAGUAAGAAGCAGAAGAAAUUAGUGGCUUUGGAUAUACUAACCGAGANNNNNNNNNNNNNGUCUUGAUGAUGUGGGUGGUACUAAAAGUAUGACUGAUAAAAGUGAACUUCAGUUGACCACCAAAGGCACAGGAAAUGAUCCCAAUGAACAUGCAUUAAAAAACCUUGUUUGUUUUGGCACUGAGGAGAAAAGUAGAGAUGAAGCCGAUGUUCUUGCUGAAGUGCCCGAACUGAAUGAGUCAUCCUCAACAGAAAGACGAUUAGAAGGUGUUUUAAGCAGGUGUGAGUGGAAACCUAUUGAGAAAGAAUUAUAUUCGAAGGGUUUGGAGAUAUUUGGACAAAACAGGACCACCAAGAUGCAAUUCAGUUUUGUUCGGUUCAUGGGGCAUGUAGAUGUAACUCAAAAUUCAUGUGGUGUUGCUCAUUUGUUACUUUGACGUUAAGUCAAAAUUUGAUUUUUUUUUACUGGAUAAAUUGCAAUUUUUU